UUCCCCUAAAAGUUCCCAUGAUAUUGAGGUGAGAGAGUUUUAUGAAAACGACCUCUAGUGGCCUAGAUCCAUCUUAUCGUCUCACCAUUGUGUGUAAAAGGAAAAGCUCUCGUUAUUACAGGAUAGUGGCCGGUACUCGCGCAGACGACUGUGUCUCAGCUUCCUGUUUAAGCCGACAUGGGCAACUCGUGUAUGACCUGCUGCAGGCGAAAGUCUGAACAGACCGGAGAUGAAGUGGAAACAGGUCUGAAGGACCCUAAAACAGAUGUCAACAACACGGUUCAACGAGCGGCAGGUCAGACAAAAGCUGAUGUCCUUCCACGAUCUUCCAG